rnacentral:rRNA from 1 species
GGAGAUUCAUCGUCUGGAUAUUUGGUAUUAGUAUAAGUUAUGAUAUAGUAUGUAAUCCUUGUGGUUAAUUUUACUGUACAUUCUUGUAUUAUUUGCUUAAUAUGUCGGCGUGCCACUUCUCCUCUAGUAGAACGUCGUGACCCGUUAGAUGUUGAUCUAUGGCCUAAAUGGUAAGUUCUCUUGAAUAUUGCUUGCAAUUUUUCGGAGACCUUUAGUGAUCCUGAUCAGCUGUUUGACGGUAUUCAUAUGAUAAUAAGCCGCUUUAUAGCGUUAAAUCCAUUACAAGUGCGGUUAAAUUUUGGCAGUAUGGAUCUGAUGCCAUCGCUAGAAACUAACCAACUGUUGGUUGAAUUGGUGUUCUUUAACUGGCUUUAAUUAUCGGUCAGCGACGCUACUGCUUUGGGUACUUUCAGGACCCGUCUUGAAACACGGACCAAGGAGUCUAACAUGUACGCAAGUCAUUGGGAUUUUUAAAACCAAACCUAAAGGCGAUAAUGAAAGUAAAGAUUAUCCUAAGAUAAUUUAGGGAAGAUGAGUUACGUUACGAUGUAAUCUCGCAUUCCCGGGG